AGCAGCCGCGGUAAUUCCAGCUCCAAUAGCGUAUAUUAAAGUUGUUGCAGUUAAAAGCUCGUAGUUGAAUUUCGGGAUCAAUAUGUUGGUCGUGCCUCGGUACGUACUAGCUUAUUGGUUUCUCCUUUCUGAAGAACCAUGAUGUCAUUUAUUUGGUGUCAUGGGGAAUCAGGACUGUUACUUUGAAAAAUUAGAGUGUUUAAAGCAGGCUCACGCUUGAAUACAUUAGCAUGGAAUAAUGAAAUAGGACGCUUGAUUCUAUUUUGUUGGUUUUAGGAUCGACGUAAUGAUUAAUAGGGAUAGUUGGGGGCAUUAGUAUUCAAUUGUCAGAGGUGAAAUUCUUGGAUUUAUUGAAGACUAACUACUGCGAAAGCAUUUGCCAAGGAUGUUUUCAUUAAUCAAGAACGAAAGUUAGGGAUCGAAGACGAUCAGAUACCGUCGUAGUCUUAACCAUAAACUAUGCCGACUAGGGAUCGGAUGAUGUUUAAUUUUUUAAUGUACUCUAUUCGGCGUACCCG
rnacentral:misc_RNA from 1 species